rnacentral:lncRNA from 1 species
UUUCAUUGUAUGAUAAAUUGUUUGCAAUGAGAUUGCCAAAGCUGGAGAUAAUGAAAGAGUAAAAGACAAAUAUGUAAUGUGUUUUAUUUUUUAAGAAGCUUUGCCUCCACUUUGGUCAGAAUACUGAUCAUUAAUUAGUAAUGAGAUGUGACUGCCAAGUGAUCAGAAUGUUCUUGUUGGUUCAUCAGUGUAUUCUGUCUCUAAUAAUCAACAGAAACCAUAGAUAUUAAUUUUGAAAACAAUGUUGGAAAUAUAAAAUGAGAGACAAAAAUAAGAUGGUCUUAAGUGUUGUUUUUACCAGAGUAUAGGAGCCCAGUGAAUCAGUUUCCUAUUAAAUGGAAAAUCUUUAAAGUAUUGACAUAAGUUCUUUGUCAGCCACAUAAAGCAACUUUUUCCUCCCAGUCAUGUUUUAGGGAGACCUAACAAUAUCUCCUCUCAACUCUACUUUUUGUAGAUUCCGGGGGUGUUGCUCCUUUUUGUUUGUGAUGACUUUGCCACCUCAUCUAUCAUUUCAACAGACUUUCUUGGCACAUUAGAAUUCAUUUUAUACUGAUCACCUCUUCAGUUAGCAUACAGGUUCAAAAUCUCUGGAGCUCAUGAUUGUGAGCUGCUCUGAGGCUUGAUCUCAGGAACAUCACUACAAACAAAUGAGGAAGGCACAGCUGGGCAGAGGAGGACGUCGAAAGUGGGGUUGCCACAGAGGCCCAUGGGUCAUCUGGUGCCGGGAUGACCAUUCAGAUUGUCCUGGAUUGAGGUGAGGAUAUCGGACCUCUUUUACCCUUGCAUAAAACAGAGCCUGUAGAGAAACCGUGAUCUGGUGUCCGGAAGGCAUCCAUCCUUCAAAUUACUUGAACAAUUACAGACAUGUGUGGAAAUUUAUUUUUGAUCUGUUUCUCAACCAUGCUCAUACAGGUCAGAGAUGCCCACACCUCAGAGAGAGCCCUCCCCUGGACUGGAGGUAUAAGGACAUGAGCCAGGUAGCCACACCUAUGGAAAGUCCACCGGUUCAUUUUGAGAAUUCGUGUUAGUAUUCAUGCAGCAGCUGGGGCCUUACCUGGGAAGAGAUAAAUAGCCCCCAAGCAUUUGCCUUGUAAAACCUUGCCAACAACCCAUCAUUAAAACUCAAGGUAAAUGUUUGUCACGUUUCUUUAAUGCUCCCAGUAUGUGUGAUGAUCAACAUCAAUGAUUAAAAUGAGAAUUAUCAAUCUUGAGGUUAUUAAUUACUAAUGUCUUUUAGCCCCAUUAAUAGGAAUAAGUGUGAGAAAAAUAUCAAUCAAUGCUAUCUUGCUUAAGUAAUCUUUUCACUGCAUGCAUCUGAAGGUUAGGCUGUCGAAAGUCUUCAAGCCCUUACCAAAGUCCUCAACCUCUCAAUAAACAUGUAUUAAUGCAUUCUUUAUCUCUUCCU